rnacentral:rRNA from 1 species
GUGGGGAAUAUUGGACAAUGGGCGAAAGCCUGAUCCAGCCAUGCCGCGUGUGUGAAGAAGGUCUUCGGAUUGUAAAGCACUUUAAGUUGGGAGGAAGGGCAGUAAGUUAAUACCUUGCUGUUUUGACGUUACCGACAGAAUAAGCACCGGCUAACUUCGUGCCAGCAGCCGCGGUAAUACGAAGGGUGCAAGCGUUAAUCGGAAUUACUGGGCGUAAAGCGCGCGUAGGUGGAUUGGUAAGUUGGAGGUGAAAUCCCCGGGCUCAACCUGGGAACUGCCUCCAAAACUGCAUGACUGGAGUACGGUAGAAGGUAGUGGAAUUUCCUGUGUAGCGGUGAAAUGCGUAGAUAUAGGAAGGAACACCAGUGGCGAAGGCGACUACCUGGACUGAUGCUGACACUGAGGUGCGAAAGCGUGGGGAUCAAACAGGAUUAGAUACCCGAGUAGUCC